CUAACGGUGCUUAUAAGCACCAUAUCUUAUUAUUUACCAGAAUUAAU
rfam:Acanthisitta chloris contig26509, whole genome shotgun sequence.